rnacentral:snRNA from 1 species
AGAUUUAAGAUCUGGCUGCAAUGUGUGUCAUCUCAGACACCCCACUGAUUCCCAGGAUUGAUUUGGCUGAUGUGGUUGGCUAGGAGGUGUCCCCCACCUCCCUUAUUGCUCCAUAUGUGUCCCUCACAAAGCUGUGCACUCCAUUGAAGACAACUAUUCUUUGGUCAAGGUUUUAUGAAUAGCUGUGCUCCCUUGCUAGAAUUUCCAAACAAAAUCUCAUAUAAUAUAUAUAAUAUAUUAUAUAUAAUAUAGAAUAACUACAUAUAAGUACCUAUAU